GACGAACGCUGGCGGCGUGUUUAACACAUGCAAGUCGAACGGAAAGGCCCUGCUUUUGUGGGGUGCUCGAGUGGCGAACGGGUGAGUAACACGUGAGUAACCUGCCCUUGACUUUGGGAUAACUUCAGGAAACUGGGGCUAAUACCGGAUAGGAGCUCCUGCUGCAUGGUGGGGGUUGGAAAGUUUCGGCGGUUUGGGAUGGACUCGCGGCUUAUCAGCUUGUUGGUGGGGUAGUGGCUUACCAAGGCUUUGACGGGUAGCCGGCCUGAGAGGGUGACCGGCCACAUUGGGACUGAGAUACGGCCCAGACUCCUACGGGAGGCAGCAGUGGGGAAUAUUGCACAAUGGGCGGAAGCCUGAUGCAGCAACGCCGCGUGCGGGAUGACGGCCUUCGGGUUGUAAACCGCUUUCGCCUGUGACGAAGCGUGAGUGACGGUAAUGGGUAAAGAAGCACCGGCUAACUACGUG
rnacentral:rRNA from 1 species